ensembl:lncRNA
AUUUUGUGCCCUGACCUGGAGCGGCCCCGGGGCGGGCGUCAUGGCUGCCUCACGCCCUCACAGUGGGGUACCGGGACUGGCGGCUCGGCUGAGGGUGCUUCCACAUGUCAACAAUUUGGGUGCAUUGCUUCUGGCUCCUGGAGGGGAAUGUGAAUGUGAUGAAGGGCCCUGUCCCCCUGCCUCCCAGAGCAGCACAUUGUCCCAUGUCAUUUCCCCAUGGGCCAUGGGAAGAAAACAGCUCAGAUGCACAAGACACCCUGCUCUCAAUUGCCAUCUUUGCCUGCAAGAAGGAGCCCUUCCACCUUUCUCCCCUUUCCAGGCAUGGUGACCUGUUAAAUAAACACCCUCUCCCCUGCCCUCACAUUGCAAGCCCACCAGGCCUGUACACCCUGGCUCGGCUUAUUCCUGCCCCCAGACCUCUGCCGCAAUGGAAGGAGGGUGAAAAGGUCGGGGAGAACAAUCAAAACACUGCGCUUGCCUGAAUAGCAGCCACAUAAACUUAUCCACGGGAUUUAGAGCAGCCUUUUUAUGGGGAUUGCUGACCCUCCAGGACUGUAGUGCUGGCUUUAUGGGUUUGGGGGAGGGGAGGCAAUGCUGGAGCCUCCUGAGCACGAAAUGCCAGUCAGGAGGAGUAGGAAGGCUCUGCAGCCUCAAGUGAGCUUCCUUAAAACUCGUCGGUUGUGAGGUUAUCUUCCUCAGUUUUCAGUAGUUUUUAAGCUGUAAUGUCACCUGCAGCGAGGAUCAGGAGUGCAGGCCUGGCUCUCUGCUUGCACAAAACACCACUGCAGCUCCACCCAGGAAUGAAGUCAGUGCUGGUUUUUGCACUGAGGGUGUGUAAGAGCAAGCAUUUCCCUAUGUGAAAAAUAUUUUGAUAUAUCGGUGGCCUGUCAGGUAGUCACAGGUACUACAGCUUCUUUGAAAGGCUUCUGCAUAAGCACGUUUUGUUGGCACAUCUAAAUCUUUGUUCUUUUUUUCUAUUUUGGCAGGAAGUACUGGAAAUGAAACCCGAAUGUUUCCACACCUGCCUUACCACAGCUCCUUGGCACUGCCAGCUCCCCCCACUUGCAUAUGGUCAUCCCUUUGUGCGGGUUUCCCACAGGGACACGCUACGGCAGAACAACAGGGGGAGUGCGAGAGACAGGGAAACUGUCAGGCAUCACUGCCAUCGCACAUGCUUGGGCCAGGGCCUGAUCUACCAGUUGUGCUGGUUAGCUUGGGGUAAAAGCAUGCCUUCAAACCAUCCGCUUAUGGAUGGCUUUGUGAAACAUACUUAAACCCUGUAGUCAAAAUAGGCUAGAAUGCACCAGUCUGUCACACUGAAUGCAAUGUGGGCAUACCAGGCACCAGAAAUGCCUUACUUUCACACUGGUGAGAGUUUUCCUGUAAUUUGGGCACAGCAACCCUCUACAAAGCAAAAGGCUUUGGGCAGAGUGGCUGGAAAGCUGUGUGGCAGAACAGGAUCUCAGGUGUGUUAUUUGACAGCCAACUGAACGUGAACCAGCAGUGUGCCCAGGUGGCCAAGAAGACCAAUGGCAACAUGGCUUAUAGCAGAAAUACUAUUUCCAGCAGGAGCAAGGAAGUGAUCAUCCCUCUGAACUCAGCUCUGGUGAGGCCGCACCUGGAGUACUGUGUUCAGUUUUGGGCCUUCACUACAAGAAAGACAUUGAGGCCCUGGAGCAUGCCCAAAGCAAAAGGCAAUGAAGAUGAUGAAGGGUCUGGAGCAUGUCUUUUGGGGAGCAGCUGAGGGAAUUGGGACUCUUCAGUCCAGAGAAGAGGAGGCUCAGGGAAGAUAUCCCUCUCUACAACUGCCUGAAAGGAGGUUGUAGAGAGGUGGGAGUUGAUCUCUUCUCCCAGGUAACUGCAAGAGGACAAGAGCAGGGAAAGGGGCAGACUGCAGUAAGAGCCUCUGGACUCGGUCCUGGUCGCUCCUGCACAGAGCAGAUGAGAGGCGGACAGCGAGGAGUCGGCACUGCGAGAGGUGGCCGUUCCCAGCCCAACAGUCACAGACACAGGAAUGAAAAAUAACAACCAAGGGAGCGGGUUUCAUGUGAAAACGGUGGCUGGAAUUCAAGCCUGAAACAUUUCAGAGCUGGUUUUAUUUAUUAUUUAUUUAUUUAUAUAAAAUUUAUACUACAAAUACAAGCGUAUUUUUGCACACGGUGCCUUGCAGCUCUAUUUGUAAUUUGACCAUCAUUUUCAGACCCGCCUGAUUAAUAGUAGGCCACUAAAUUCAGGCUCACGUUUCUAAACAAACAUUCUCCUUUUUUAUUGUUGUUGGAAGUGUCGAACUCCUGCCUUUCCUCAUGGCAUGUGUAGGAUGGUUUUGCCUUUUAGCAGACUCUUAGGGCGAGGUAAAACAAAUACUUUGCCAUCACGUAAGAAUCUCAGAAAUGUGGCCUCCGAGGAUAUCCUGGUUUGGGCAGAGAUGCUGCUCUCGCUCUACCUGAGUUGCUCUGGUGGAGUUUUUUGUGAGUUUAGAGUAGCAGGAUCACACAAAGGCAGGUUGAAAGGGGUCACGUGUCCCAUCUCCUGCCCAGAACAGGGCCCAGUGCUGAGUGCAAGCGGGUGGCUCAGCCAUGCACCUGCAAAGAAGCAGGGUCCUGUCCACUCUCUGGACGCUGUGCCAAGCUGUCAUCACCCUCAUAGAAGGACACCUCCUUGCAAGGAGCAUGUGCAAGGAGCCACCGUGAGUGAGCUGUAUGGCCUUCUCCCAAAGGGUCGCUCACAUCGCCUGCAGCCAUAGGAACUUCUCAUGACCGAAAUGUCCUUACUGGCUGGACAUUGUGUACCUACAGUCAAAACUUUUGAAACCAAGCUUCAUGCCUUUGCCACUUUCUCUGCAAGACAUUGUCCUCACCUCAUUUCACAAGUGAGAGGGAGGGUGAAUGCAUUAUUAAUACGAAAAGCAUUCAGAUUUGGGGGGUGAGAAGCACCAGCACUUAUGAUUCAUCCUAUGAAUACAGUAUAAAUUAUUCAGCAACUGUACAUCUCUCUUAAAAAGGAAAUGAGGGGUUUUGGGCUGACUGAGCUGUCAGGCUCCUAAUGAGACAGGAAAAACAAUUAAACCCUAAAACAGAAAUGUAAACAAAAACAUAAAUACAAAUGAAAAUAAUUUUAAAUACCUUACCGGAAAGUUUGCCCAUGGUGCGUAUUACUUUAAUGGUUACUUUGUGUGCAGACAUUUUAGGAAGAAAAAGGUGCUCAUUUCUUAUGACGUACCUCAUGCCUCCCUGGUUUUCCCUCUAUAAGUUCAUUUAUUAACCUAUUUUCUUUGUUUAACUGCUGUGUGUUUUUGGUAGAAUGAAAUCUCGUAUGUUUCCCAAUGUGCUAUUUUUUAGUACUAAUAAAUAAACUUUGAGG